UACGUAGGGGGCUAGCGUUGUCCGGAAUCAUUGGGCGUAAAGCGCGUGUAGGCGGUCCGGUAAGUCCGCUGUGAAAGUCGAGGGCUCAACCCUCGAAUGCCGGUGGAUACUGUCGGGCUUGAGUACGGGAGAGGCGAGUGGAAUUCCUGGUGUAGCGGUGAAAUGCGCAGAUAUCAGGAGGAACACCGAUUGCGAAGGCAGCUCGCUGGAACGUUACUGACGCUGAGGCGCGAAAGCUAGGGGAGCAAACAGG
rnacentral:rRNA from 1 species